rnacentral:rRNA from 1 species
CUCCGCUCCAUCGCAUGGUGGGGUGGGAAAUGCUUUUGCGGCAUGGGAUGGGGUCGCGUCCUAUCAGCUUGUUGGCGGGGUGAUGGCCCACCAAGGCGUUGACGGGUAGCCGGCCUGAGAGGGUGACCGGCCACAUUGGGACUGAGAUACGGCCCAGACUCCUACGGGAGGCAGCAGUGGGGAAUAUUGCACAAUGGGCGCAAGCCUGAUGCAGCGACGCCGCGUGCGGGAUGGAGGCCUUCGGGUUGUAAACCGCUUUUGUUCAAGGGCAAGGCACGGUUUCGGCCGUGUUGAGUGGAUUGUUCGAAUAAGCACCGGCUAACUACGUGCCAGCAGCCGCGGUAAUACGUAGGGUGCGAGCGUUAUCCGGAUUUAUUGGGCGUAAAGGGCUCGUAGGCGGUUCGUCGCGUCCGGUGUGAAAGUCCAUCGCCUAACG